rnacentral:misc_RNA from 1 species
UAUUAGGGCUAACUAUACAAAUAGUGUCUUAACUUUCCCAAAUUUGACAAUUGAUUGUUUGAAAUUUUUACUUUGUCAAUCAAGUGUCUGAAUGGACUCAAUUUUUUGCCCUUCUUUCUGUUCUAUCACCUCUAAUGCAAUACAUCAGAGGUCAAUUGAUUGGAAUUUCCGAAGACUUAUAAUGGAAGGAAGUGUAAUUGUAGAAAUUCUCUCUGUCAUAUAAUUAUUCUUUCUACUUUUACACCACUUCCAUUUUUCUUUUUUCCUUCAAUCUCCUUCCCCAUGCUAAGAGCUUUUGGGUCCAAAUCCAAUGGCAUCUCUUUUUAUAGUGUGGGUUACCUAUGCUUAGACAUACAAUAGGCGUGUUGAACAAGGUAAUGUAAUGUUUAACAAUGGUUAAAGGAAAAAAUGAGAAAAAGUAAUUCUCAAUCAAUCUAAGUCAAAGGACCAUGCUUCUCUUCUUUUUAUUCCCUCCCAUUUCCAUUCUUCUGACUUUCUAUCCUAAGUUCCACUUGAUCAAUAUGACAUUUCAAUGUCACCAAAGUUUCUCUUCUUUUAAACUCAUGUUUGAGGGCUUCCUUUGCACUAGGGGCUAUUAUAAGCCAUAGUUAUUAAAGGCUCAAG